rnacentral:rRNA from 1 species
GAUCAUGGCUCAGGAUGAACGCUGGCGGCGUGCUUAACACAUGCAAGUCGAACGGAGUUUUAAACGGAAGUCCUCGGAUGGAAGUUAGAAACUAGUGGCGGACGGGUGAGUAACGCGUGGGUAACCUGCCUCAUACAGGGGGAUAACAGUCGGAAACGAUUGCUAAAACCGCAUAACAUAGCGAAACCGCAUGAUUUUGCUAUCAAAUAUUUAUAGGUAUGAGAUGGGCCCGCGUCUGAUUAGCUAGUUGGUGGGGUAAUGGCCUACCAAGGCGACGAUCAGUAGCCGGCUUGAGAGAGUGACCGGCCACAUUGGGACUGAGACACGGCCCAAACUCCUACGGGAGGCAGCAGUGGGGAAUAUUGGACAAUGGGGGAAACCCUGAUCCAGCGAACCGCCGCGUGAGUGAAGAAGUAUUUCGGUAUGUAAAGCUCUAUCAGCAGGGAAGAUAAUGACAGUACCUGACUAAGAAGCCCCGGCUAACUACGUGCCAGCCGCUGC